rnacentral:rRNA from 1 species
GACGAACGCUGGCGGCGUGCUUAACACAUGCAAGUCGAACGGUGAAGGUGGAGCUUGCUCCGCCGGAUCAGUGGCGAACGGGUGAGUAACACGUGGGCAACCUGCCCCAGACUUCGGGAUAACUCCUCGAAAGAGGUGCUAAUACCGGAUACGAACUCCUUGGGCAUCCUUGGAGUUGGAAAGUUUUUCGGUCUGGGAUGGGCCCGCGGCCUAUCAGCUUGUUGGUGAGGUAACGGCUCACCAAGGCGACGACGGGUAGCCGGCCUGAGAGGGCGACCGGCCACACUGGGACUGAGACACGGCCCAGACUCCUACGGGAGGCAGCAGUGGGGAAUAUUGCGCAAUGGGCGAAAGCCUGACGCAGCAACGCCGCGUGAGGGAUGACGGCCUUCGGGUUGUAAACCUCUUUCAGCAGGGAAGAAGCGAAAGUGACGGUACCUGCAGAAGAAGCACCGGCUAACUACGUGCCAGCCGCCGCCGUAA